CUGGUUGAUCCUGCCAGUAGUCAUAUGCUUGUCUCAAAGAUUAAGCCAUGCAUGUCUAAGUACAAGCCUCACUAAGGUGAAACCGCGAAUGGCUCAUUAAAUCACACCUAAUCUACUGGAUAGUAAACAGUUACUUGGAUAACUGCGGUAAUUCUGGAGCUAAUACAUGCAUAAAGCCCCAACUCACGAAGGGGCGCUUUUAUUAGAUCAAAACCAAACGGCUUCGGCUGUACUCUUGGAGAUUCUGAAUAACUUUGGGCUGAUCGCAUAGCCUUGCGCUGGCGACAUAUCCUUCGAAGGUGUGCCCUAUCAACUGUCGACUGUGGCAUAGACGCCCACAGUGGUUUUGACGGGUAACGGGGAAUCAGGGUUCGAUUCCGGAGGGGAGCCUUAAAAACGGCUACCACAUCUAAGGAAGGCAGCAGGCACGCAAACUACCCAAUGACCGAAGGUCGAGGUAGUGACGAAAAAUAACGAUAGCGGUCUCAUCCGAGGUACGCUAAUUGGAAUGAGUACACUUUAAAACCGUCCCCGAGGAUCUAUUGGAGGGCAAGUCUGGU
rnacentral:rRNA from 1 species